rnacentral:rRNA from 1 species
GACGAACGCUGGCGGCAUGCCUAAUACAUGCAAGUCGAGCGAACAGAUGAAGUGCUUGCACUUCUGACGUUAGCGGCGGACGGGUGAGUAACACGUAAGGAAUCUACCUAUAAGCGGGGGAUAACAUUCGGAACCGGGCGCUAAUACCGCAUAAUAUCUUCUUCCGCAUGGAAGGAGAUUGAAAGACGGCUCUGCUGUCACUUAUAGAUGACCUUGCGGUGACUUAGUUAGUUGGUGGGGUAACGGCCUACCAAGACGAUGAUGCAUAGCCGACUUGAGAGGGUGAUCGGCCACAUUGGGACUGAGACACGGCCCAAACUCCUACGGGAGGCAGCAGUAGGGAAUCUUCCGCAACGGGCGAAAGCCUGACGGCGCAAUGCCGCGUGAGUGAAGAAGGCCUUCGGGUCGUAAAACUCUGUUAUAAGAGAAGAACAAAUUGUAGAGUAACUGCUACAGUCUUGACGGUAUCUUAUCAGAAAGCCACGGCUAACUACGUGCCAGCCGCCGCUGUAA